GAUGAAGAACGUAGCGAAAUGCGAUAAGUAAUGCGAAUUGCAGAAUUUCCGUGAGUCAUCGAAUCUUUGAACGCACAUUGCGCCCACUGGUAUUCCGGUGGGCAUGCCUGUUCGAGCGUCAUUAUCCUCCCUCAAAACUCCUGUUUUGGUGUUGGGCCGCGUUGGCCACCUCCGACCAACGGGCCUCAAAGACAAUGACGGCGUCCGUGGGACCCUCUUCGCAGUGAGCUUUUGUUAGCGCGCGUUGAGUUUAAAGGACCUUCCGGGCCGGCCACCUUUAUCUAUUUUACAAGGUUGACCUCGGAUCAGGUAGGAAUACCCGCUGAACUUAAGCAUAUCAAUAAGCGGAGGA
rnacentral:misc_RNA from 1 species